rnacentral:rRNA from 1 species
GGAAAUUGACGGGGCCCGCACAAGCGGCGGAGCAUGCGGAUUAAUUCGAUGCAACGCGAAGAACUUACCAAGGCUUGACAUACACCGGUAACGCCCAGAGAUGGGUGCCCCUUUGUGGUCGGUGUACAGGUGGUGCAUGGUUGUCGUCAGCUCGUGUCGUGAGAUGUUGGGUUAAGUCCCGCAACGAGCGCAACCCUCGUCCCUAUGUUGCCAGCGGGUCAUGCCGGGGACCCAUGGGAGGACUGCCGGGGUCGAACUCGGAGGAAGGUGGGAGUGACGUCAAAUCAUCAUGCCCCUUACUGUCUUUGGGCUUCACGCAUGCUACAAUGGCCGGUACAAAGGGCUGCGAUACCGCGAGGUGGAGCGAAUCCCAGAAAGCUGGUCUCAGUUCGGAUUGGGGUCUGCAACUCGACCCCAUGAAGUCGGAGUCGCUAGUAAUCGCAGAUCAGCAACGCUGCGGUGAAUACGUUCCCGGGCCUU